rnacentral:rRNA from 1 species
GUAGGUGGCAAGCGUUGUCCGGAAUUAUUGGGCGUAAAGCGCGCGCAGGUGGUUCUUUAAGUCUGAUGUGAAAGCCCCCGGCUCAACCGGGGAGGGUCAUUGGAAACUGGGGAACUUGAGUGCAGGAGAGGAAAGUGGAAUUCCACGUGUAGCGGUGAAAUGCGUAGAUAUGUGGAGGAACACCAGUGGCGAAGGCGACUUUCUGGCCUGUAACUGACACUGAGGCGCGAAAGCGUGGGGAGCAAACAGGGAUUAGAUACCCUGGUAGUCCACGCCGUAAACGAUGAGUGCUAAGUGUUGGGGGGGCUUCCGCCCCCACAGUGCUGCAGCUAACGCAUUAAGCACUCCGCCUGGGAGUACGGUCGCAAGACUG